AUAGAAUCAUUGUAGAUAUACAAUUUUGUACUUGGAAAUCUGAUUUUGAUCGAAGUUGACAACCGGUCCUCUUUAGGUAUCAAUUUUUAGUAAUUUGAGAUAAUUUUUAUUUUAACCUAUUUUUAACUUUCUUCUAAAUAUAUUCAUAUUAAUUACUUUAUCUUAUUUAUUUUUAUUUGGCUUAUUUAUGCCUCUACAAAGUAAAUAGAAGUUCCUUCUAGAAAAGAUAACAUUAAGACUAAAAUUUUUACCAACUUUUUAUUAUUUAUUUUUAUUUUUUUACUACAUCCUUUUACUAGGUUCUUCU
rnacentral:lncRNA from 1 species